rnacentral:lncRNA from 1 species
CAGCAUCCUAACAAGCCUCGCUGUUAUCGUUUUCACAUGAUAAUAGUAAAUUGUUAUUUAAUUUAGACUCGUCUGUGUAAAAACGUCUUCUCCGUGUUGCACGAGCCACGGACAAGUGGCUGGUGCUGACGGGAGAAGUUGAGCGGAACAGAGCUCGGUGCAGAGCACACAAAGCAAUGGGAUGUGCUGUGGGCCUGGGAGGCGUCGGGCUGUUGGCUCGGCUGCUGGUCCGGCUGUUGGUCCGGCAGUUGGUUCGGCUGCUGGCUCAGCUGGCUCUUGGUAGGGUGCUGGAGUCGUUGUCCAUCAUCUGAGGUGGGCUCACCCCAAUGGCACUCUGACUAAGCUAGAAUGAGCACGCGGUUUCCCCAUAUAGAAUAAACGUGCAGUUUCCUAAUUAGAAAGAAGUCAGAGCCUCAUAAAUAGCACAGCAUCGCUAGCUCUGUGUGUUUAAGGUUCUUUUUCUCCACAAAGUUAAACUAUUUUAGAUUUGGAAUCAUAAACGCCUACUGCAAAUUUCUGCUUGUCUUCAAAAUGGCUGUUUUGGCCAAAACCCUUGUUUAUCAUCAGAAAAGUUUUGAGCAAGUGAAGUACCAUUAAAUAGACAAGUGAUUUACAUCGGGAGGUCAGCUGUGUACAUUAUGGGGUUGCAGAUAAGCUGUGUAAGUAAACAGAAGCGCGGGGCUCAGUUAUUGUGCAUGGCCAUGGAGAUACCGUGGGGCUGUUUCGCCAGUUAAUAGCGCAGGGCUGCGUGGGAACUGUUUGAUCUGCAGGACUUUUGCUUGGCAGCGGUUUACUUAAGGUUAUUACACUCUGUUUGGAGACUCGUGUUUGCCAGCCAUUAUUGCAUUCUUAGCUCCAGGCUUCCCAGAGUUACAGGUUAGUAGGUCAAUAAAAAAUGGCACUGAAAUGCUGGAAUUGACAGGCUGGGUUUUUAAAUGCAGUUGGGGAAUAACUGUGCAACAAUCAGAACUCUGAGGAAUUGGGUUUUUUCCUAUGUUUUUUGAUGCUGGUUAAUGGUGGACCAAAAAUACUACUUUUGCCCUUGAACGCUGGGAACGUUUUUCCAUUCCUUGUUAACAGAGGAAACAAAUUGUGUAAGCCAAGCGCAGAGUUGCCUGUCAGGAUGAAGUGACCAGCUCCCUGCCCAGCCUCACUGCCAUCUGCCAGCGAUCGGGGCGGCGGUGCCACUGGCAGUAGGUAGGCUUGCCAGCACAAGAGUAUAAAUGUCAUCAGGUCCCUCCUGCUGCAGAUUUAUGUGUUCUUUUAAAAUGUGAAAAUGACUGUGCCAUGCGGGGAAGUGGUAUGAAAAAGUAUGUCAUUAGAUGGCAAUUGCUUUAAAAGCACCUUAAUAAAACCUAAAGUCUUCCAAGGUGAAGCACUUCCAGCACUUGGUUGCAGGGUGCAUUCCAGGAGCCCAGCUCUGCUGUCUUACUGCUCGACUGCAGACCUGCAGCGCUGCCGUGUCCCCGCUCUGCCAAACACUGGCAGCCCGCAGUGAGCCAUGUGCACGGAGCAGCUCCAUCCGUGCCAUGCCGUGCAAUUUACGUGCUCAAAGUGAAGCAUAUGGCUGCCCUGCGCCUGGCUCAGUGUGCGCUGACAACUACGGGUGGAUCAGAUGUUCAGGGCAGAGCAGAGGAAAAUGAGAAAGACCACAACUUGUGGAUGGUUUCAGCAGCUCAUAUUCAGUUUGCUCAUAGGAACUUUAUGUCCUUUAGCUCAGGACUACCAUCAGUUGUACUUCGUGUACAUUCAGUCUGUUCUCUUCUUGUUUUUGGAGUGCGUCCUCAGAAAAUCAUUCCUGCCUCCGUUUUUCUCAUCUGUCUUUGCUGUUAAUUGACGUAGCUCUCACUUAUUGACAAGCAUUUAUGUUUAAGUAGGCAUUUGUUGAUUCUUUCUUUCUUUCUGAAGCAAAGAACCCCCCUUUCUGUAGUAGCUAUGUCGUGGUUACUUCUGCACUCCUGUGCCAGGUUGGGUUCGUUACAGCUCUUGCUGAGUGUUGCAGCUGUGCCACUGUUGACUCUAACAGAUAAUCCCCUGCUCAGUGCCAGAGAUGCUCAGCAGCAGAAGCCAGGUGUUGUGUAUAAAUCCACUUAUCACACUGAUUAGUUUUCCUUUUAAGACCCCGAUUUUGCAACCAGUUAGCCACCUGCUUAACCUCAGGGUUGCAGCAUUGAAGUACAGGGGUGAUUCUGGGUGUGAAGACGAACGUGUGUAGGUGUUUGCAGGGUUAGUGCUUGUAAACAUGUGCUGCACUAAAUGGUGGAAGAGCUUAAAAAAAAAAAAAAGGCCUCUUUUGCUUUGUUCUCAAGAAUUAUGGUAGGCAGUUGUGAUUAGUUAGGUUAUUUAGUUAAAAUGCAGUAACACUGUGUGAUGCUGGGAUUGUCAGAGCACUGAUGUGGAAUUGGCAGUGCUCAGGAUCAGACAGUGGAGCUGCAAUUGUAAUAGUGCUUGUAUGGAAAGUCAGCCAGGAGCCUGGUAGGUUUGAGGUUUGUGUUUCUAUUAUGAAGAAGGUCUGGAGGGAUUACUGCAGCAAAAUACUGUUUAUUGUUUCUAGCUCUUUGAUAUUUAGCUCUCAUUUAAAUUGGGUAAUGGAAACUCCUAGACCAAAGAAUUAGAUAGAAUUAGGAUAUUAGAUAAUGGACACAGGCCUAAGCUGAUGGGGAUAGAAUUAAAAAUAAUAAUAAUCAGGCAAAUUCUUUUCUUCUUCUUCUUCUUCUUUUUUUUUUAACAUAUUUUUAAUGUAUUCAGAUGAUUUAAACAUAAAGACUGGGUGUUCUGCCAGCAAGACUUGAUAUGCAGAAUUCUUCUAAAAGCCAGAGACCCUGCAGUUCUCUACUUCUUUGGGAACUGAUUUCUCUUCUAUUCUUCUCCCUUGAAAUGAAAAUGGGAAGUCGUGUAGUUCUUGGUUUUGUUGUUUUUUUUCAGAAGGAGUGCAGUUUUACAGUAUGGAAACUAAUGGCUCAUAAAGGAGAGUCAAAUACUUCUGCCUCUCUUGCUGUGCUGUACGCACAGACAAUUCACAUCUGAAACAUAAAUUAUUCCUGAGAAUAAUCAAAAUGCAAGUAAGGAGGGCAAAAACAAGGUAUGGAAAAAGGUUUGAUGUAUCAUAGAAACCAAUUUUUCACUGCUGCUGCAUGUAGUAAAAGAACAAAAAGAAGCACUCUCUCUUUCUCCCCAUCUCUCAUCUUAGGAUCUCCCUUAAGUCUGUACUGUUAUGACUGUUCUGAGCCAACCAUUUACCAGUUGCUUUCCAUAUACAUCUUUGUUCCAUUUUCUAAUAACUUUCCUUGCAUUGUGUAUAACUCCCUUUAAAUAGGCUCUUGGCUCCUGGUGGUAUGUGUUGUUCGAAAUAGAUAAUGCAGCUGUUCUCUUAUUGCAUUCACUUGAAUCCUUAAGGCUUCUCUGUGCCAAGGUUUGCCCAUGUUGUUGCUCUAACCUACUUCAGGAAGCUAAAAUCUUUGUCCCACUGUAUACUUGCUACCAAGGAAGUUACCUGUGUACUGGUUCUUAUUGUGAGUGACUUUUGUUCCGAAGAUGCUUCAAGACUUCAGAAUGAUAAUUCUGAUUUCCUUUGCUAUAAUUUCCCCCCCUCUUUCUUUUUUUUUGUAUUAAUUGCCUGCAUGCCUCAUCUCUGCCCUCUGUGUACACCUGUGUUCCAGCAUAUGUUGCAAGAAUCAGAUAUAGAAGCUGAAUUUUACUUUGUAGGGUGAUGACCCCACUAACUUGCUGCAGCUUGAAGGAUGGCUGUGUCAUUAGUGAGUGAGUAACUGUGUGCCAUGCAAUAAGCAGAGAAUGUAGGCCAAGGCAGUAUAAUAAAGUCAUCUUCCUGUUGCCUUUGGGUAAAGUCCAGAGCUACCAGUUGAGCCAUACUCAACAUGUGGUAACUCUUGGCUUUCUUUGCAUUGGCAAUAAAGUAGUUCCUGGUGGCUGCUGAAAAUGAGAUUGAGUCAUAAUCACUCCUAUGGCUGUUAAUGGGAAUUGUACCUAACAGUUUUUGAGCAAUUUACAACAUUGUUUCUGUAUUCCUCUCGGGUGCUCCAGAUGUCAUCCAGGAGCACAGUUUCUUCAGGAGGAAAGCUACUCCGUGAUCAGUGAUGUGGCUUUAUGUCUUGAUGCAAGGCAAGCUUUCGCCUAAGAGGACAUUAAGUUACCAGUGAAAAUGCACAUAGUGGAUUAAAAUAUGAUAGUAAGAACAUCUGCUCAAAGGUCAGAGAGACAAACUACAUUGUAUAAGGAAAAAUAAGAAGUUGGUCAGUGAUUUCUUUUGAAAUCCAAAUUUCAUUCACAAGGUCUCACUUUAACAAACCAAGGUAUCUGAGCGCUUACAUCAGAACUGCCAUGACUGUCACUGCCUGCCACUGUAUCUUAUGGCUCAGUGUUAACAGGAGCCUACAAGCCUGGUGUCUGCUACCUUGUAACCAUGAACUCUGUCUCUGAAGACCAGAAGGGCCUGAAAUAUCCCAGGAUAUCCCACUUCAGACCCCUUGGUUUGGGGAGCUCCUUGUUUGAGUAGGGUUCUUAGGGGUUCAGGGUUGCCCAGGGAGGAGCUUGGAGCUGUUUCUCAGCUUGGAGCUUGUCUGUGCAGCCUCACAAGUCUGACCUCCCAGAGGGCUGAAGGCCACUCCUGGCGUUUGGCUAUGAGAGGUGUAGGUGGCAGUCUAGACAGUGUUCAAUGACCCCACAGUAGGAAGGAGGAAAAAAAAUGGAGUCAAGUAGGACCAAUGAUGACUCUCUUGUUGUUUUAAGCUGGGAAAGACUGUAAUAGAUCUGUAUGACAAGGAACUGUACCCACAGGCAAUGAAAACCUGAGGAGGAGCAAGGCAGGUCUUGUGAAUGAAAGAAGGGAUUGGGAGUUGAGAUGACGUGCUUCAUGAUGACAUCUUGACAGGUGAGGAGGAAUAAAACGGCCCUGCUGGAUCUUGAUUUACUGCCUCUUGGAGGAAAGUGAUGAAACUGUAGCUGGAAAGAGAACAGCAGAUUUGGAGAAAUUAAUUAAAGGUAGAAAAUACUUAGUUGCAGAGGGAUGUUCUAUUCAAUUUGAAAAGUGGUGCUAGGAAAGUGACAAUCUAAGGAAUAAAAAGACUGUAGUGGAGCAGUCUGUCAGGGCUUGAGAUUUGUGGCAGGGAUGUUAUGAUCUGUGAGAGCAGCAGUGGGGGAAGGUUCUGGGAUCUCCAGCAGCAUGUAUUGCAGUGAGGGAGAACAAGGACUUGUAAACCUGGGGGAAAGCAAAUGCAUUUUAGAAAUCUUUUGUUUUACUGGCAUUUCUCUGGAAUGGAGAUAUUUCCAUCAAAGGAAGGGUCCAUUUUUUGCAUAACUAGUGAAAUUGUUUUUGAUAAGAGUUUGUUGUGUCACUCAUCACUGUAGCAUUAAUGCACAUAAAACAGGAUGGCAGUGCUCUCUGAAGGAUUUACUUUGCCGAGUAGUGGAAAGAUACUUGGAUGUUUAUUGUGCAUUUUGUUGGGUGCUUGUGGAUUUGUGCUAGAGUGAAGGCUGGGUAGGCUGGGAUCUAUCAGGAUGUGAGCUUCUCUCUCCCAUGGCAAG